GACGGGAGUCGAGGGGUCACGCAGAGACUAGCCACCCGGCAGUGGGGGCCGCUGGGCCGAGGCGAUGAUUCCUCCGCAGGAGGCGUCCGCCCGGCGGCGGGAGAUCGAGGACAAGCUGAAGCAGGAGGAGGAGACGCUGUCCUUCAUCCGAGACAGCCUGGAGAAGAGCGACCAGCUCACCAAAAACAUGGUGUCUAUCCUGUCAUCCUUUGAGAGCCGCCUUAUGAAGCUGGAGAACUCCAUCAUCCCUGUGCACAAGCAGACAGAGAACCUGCAGCGACUGCAGGAGAAUGUUGAGAAGACUCUCUCCUGCCUGGACCAUGUCAUCAGCUACUACCAUGUGGCCAGUGACACUGAGAAAAUCAUCAGGGAGGGCCCCACAGGCAGGCUGGAGGAGUACCUGGGGAGCAUGGCCAAGAUUCAGAAGGCCGUGGAGUACUUCCAGGACAAUAGCCCAGACAGCCCAGAGCUCAACAAAGUGAAGCUGCUGUUCGAGCGCGGAAAGGAGUCGCUGGAGUCCGAGUUCCGCAGCCUGAUGACCAGGCACAGCAAGGUCGUGUCCCCUGUGCUCAUUCUGGAUCUGAUCAGUGGUGAGGAUGAGCUGGAGGUCCAGGAGGAGGUGCCGCUGGAGCACCUGCCCGAGGGAGUGCUCCAGGACGUGAUCCGCAUCUCCCGCUGGCUGGUGGAAUACGGCCGUAACCAAGAUUUCAUGAAUGUCUACUACCAGAUUCGCUCCAGCCAGCUAGACCGCUCCAUCAAGGGCCUGAAGGAACAUUUCCGGAAGAGCAGUUCUUCCUCUGGGGUUCCCUACUCGCCUGCUAUCCCUAACAAGAGGAAAGACACGCCCACCAAGAAGCCCAUCAAGAGGCCAGGGACGAUCCGUAAGGCUCAGAACCUUCUGAAACAGUAUUCCCAGCAUGGUCUAGAUGGGAAAAAGGGGGGCUCUAACCUCAUUCCUCUGGAAGGGAGAGAUGACACACUGGACGUGGAGACCGACGCCUACAUUCACUGCAUCAGUGCCUUCGUCAGGCUGGCCCAGAGCGAGUACCAGCUGCUGAUGGACGUCAUCCCUGAGCACCAUCAGAAAAAGACCUUUGACUCCCUGAUCCAGGACGCACUGGACGGGCUGAUGCUCGAAGGGGAGAACAUCGUGUCUGCUGCCCGGAAGGCCAUCAUUAGGCACGACUUCUCUGCCGUGCUCACCGUCUUUCCCAUCCUGCGGCACCUCAAGCAGACCAAGCCUGAGUUUGACCAGGUGCUCCAGGGGACAGCUGCCAGCACCAAGAACAAGCUGCCCGGCCUCAUCACCUCCAUGGAGACCGUUGGAGCCAAGGCCCUGGAGGACUUUGCCGACAACAUCAAGAAUGAUCCGGACAAGGAAUACAACAUGCCCAAGGAUGGCACCGUGCAUGAGCUCACAAGCAACGCCAUCCUUUUCCUCCAGCAGCUCCUGGACUUCCAGGAGACAGCGGGGGCCAUGCUGGCCUCCCAAGAGACCAGCUCUUCUGCCACCAGCUACAGCUCCGAGUUCAGCAAGCGCCUGCUGAGCACAUAUAUCUGUAAGGUCCUGGGCAACCUGCAGCUGAACCUCCUGAGCAAGUCCAAGGUGUAUGAGGACCCGGCUCUGAGCGCCAUCUUCCUGCACAACAACUACAACUACAUCCUCAAGGCCUUGGAGAAGUCUGAGCUGAUCCAGCUGGUGGCCGUGACCCAGAAGACUGCUGAGCGCUCCUACCGGGAGCACAUUGAGCAGCAGAUCCAGACCUACCAGCGCAGGGUGGAGAGGGACCACCUGCCCCUACCACCACCUGCUUCCUGAGGUGGCCAGCAUUUCCAGAGGGUGCGGUGCCUAGGGUGCGGGCGAAGAAGAAUCAGAAGGCUGCCUGACAGGUGUGGGGACGUGAGGCCAAGCGAAGAGCAAGGUUGCAAGAGCACUUGAACUUGCUGAACCUCGCUCUGCCAUGCUCCCACUGCUCCUAUCCUUGUUUCUCCUUUGUGUGCGUGUGUCUCCUGGGAGUGCUCUCCCUUCUCCUUGCUUUGUCUGUCCUCUGCUCCCUUCCUCUUUCUCAUCUGCUUCUCCGUGUUUACUCUCCAGGAGACCGAUGUGAAGUGUAGCUGCUAGUAUUUGUUCAAUUUAUUGAAUUCUGUUUCCUGUUCUUAAUUUUAAAAGCCAGCAGCUUGAACAUUUUCUUUUCCCAAGGAAAAAAUCUCAGCUGUGCUCUGCUUAGUUGUGACCGGGAUCCAUUGCCGAGCUCCCCCUCCCCUAGUAGAUCAAGAGAUUUAAAAAACAAAACAAACCAGCCCCUGGGAAGCAGUCCCUCCUCUACCUUCUGCCUCUCUCCCCACCUGGCAGCUGGUUAAAGGUGACUGACUACAUCGCUGAGAAGAAUCUACCUGUAUUCCAACCAGGAGUCAAGCUCAGGGACAAGGAGCGGCAGAUGAUCAAGGAGCGGUUCAAGGGUUUCAAUGAUGGCCUUGAGGAACUGUGCAAGAUCCAGAAGGCCUGGGCUAUUCCUGACAUGGAACAGAGAGACAAGAUUCGCCAAGCUCAGAAAAACAUUGUCAGGGAGACCUACGGGGCCUUUCUGCACAGGUAUGGCAGCGUGCCCUUCACCAAGAACCCAGAGAAGUACAUCAAGUACCGCGUGGAACAGGUGGGCGACAUGAUCGAUCGCCUCUUUGACACGUCUGCCUGAGCCUGCUGCUGUCCCUGCCUGGUUCUGCCAGAUCAGCCAUGUUACUGGACAGAUAAAUCAGUGUUAACUUGC